GUAUGGUCAUUGUCAUAUUCUCCGAUGCGCUCUUUCGAAGUGAUCAAGGCUGAUGGGAAGAGAAAACCUCUCACAGGGCAAAGCCAAGAACCCACAGGAGAAAGGACUGAGUGUGGAACAGGAGCCCAACCAAGGAGAAUUCUCAACUCCUGGAUUAGGAGGACCUGGCCAAAAAUUCCCAGGAGAACAUCAGAAUUGCUGCAGCCCAGCCAGUGCUGAGUGACUCUCGUUCCUUUUCUUUCCAAGUAGCAAUGUUUUUGUGAUUCUACACCUAUUCCACCACACCUGGGUACAUAUGGAAAACAACUUGUCUUUUUGAUUUUUUAGGUCCUUAUCAAAUCAAGAGGAGCCUCAGUGAGAUCUGGCAUGGAACAUGGAUUUCCAGCUCAAUACCAGCGUUGGAUAAGAUUUUUGGAGUGUCCUGGGGAUGCAGUUGUACACUGCACAAGAGUGCUCAGCCGAGAGGGUAGCUGGAGCCUAAAAUCCAGUACAAGCUCCAUGUACCAAGCCCUGGGCCAGGACACAGGACUCGAAAAGUAGAGAUGGGGAAACUGAGGACCAGAAGAAUGAAGAAACUUGCCCAAGGUCACAUAGAAUAAAGUUCACAUCAGGACUCACACCCAAGUCUAGCUGACUCCAAAGUUCAUUUUGGAACCACCCACAACAUGGACUUCCUGGAUCCCGGACUUUUGGAUGACUUGACUUCACCCCACAGCCUUUCAAGAGAGAAAAAGGUCUGCUUUCUAGAUCUGGGACCUGGGAAAGUGGGCAGCUUUGGGUUCCUGGUGGGCAGGGAAUAGGGCUGGGGUUCCCAGGGUCCUGACUCAAAACCCAAGGCUGGCCGUUUCAAUAAAAGAAAAAACCAGACCGGGUGCGGUGGCUCCCACCUGUAAUCCCAGCACUUUGGGAGGCCGAGGCGGGUGGAUCACUUGAGGUCAGGAGUUCGAGACCAGUCU